rnacentral:rRNA from 1 species
GGUGAACGCUGGCGGUAGGCCUAACACAUGCGAGUCGAACGGCAGCACAGUAAGAGCUUGCUCUUACGGGUGGCGAGUGGCGGACGGGUGAGGAAUACAUCGGAAUCUACUUUUUCGUGGGGGAUAACGUAGGGAAACUUACGCUAAUACCGCAUACGACCUACGGGUGAAAGCAGGGGAUCUUCGGACCUUGCGCGAUUGGAUGAGCCGAUGUCGGAUUAGCUAGUUGGCGGGGUAAAGGCCCACCAAGGCGACGAUCCGUAGCUGGUCUGAGAGGAUGAUCAGCCACACUGGAACUGAGACACGGUCCAGACUCCUACGGGAGGCAGCAGUGGGGAAUAUUGGACAAUGGGCGCAAGCCUGAUCCAGCCAUACCGCGUGGGUGAAGAAGGCCUUCGGGUUGUAAAGCCCUUUUGUUGGGAAAGAAAAGCAGCAGGUUAAUACCCCGCUGUUCUGACGGUACCCAAAGAAUAAGCACCGGCUAACUUCGUG